rnacentral:tRNA from 1 species
UUGCAGCCGCCGGCGGACGGGUGUUGUUGAUGUUGACAUAAUCAGUACUUUGUACUGCUGCAUA